rnacentral:misc_RNA from 1 species
GAUGAAGAACGUAGCGAAAUGCGAUAAGUAAUGUGAAUUGCAGAAUUCAGUGAAUCAUCGAAUCUUUGAACGCACAUUGCGCCCCCUGGUAUUCCGGGGGGCAUGCCUGUCCGAGCGUCAUUACAACCCUCAAGCUCAGCUUGGUAUUGGGCCCCGCCGCUCCGGCGGGCCCUAAAGUCAGUGGCGGUGCCGUCCGGCUCCGAGCGUAGUAAUUCUUCUCGCUCUGGAGGUCCGGUCGUGUGCUCGCCAGCAACCCCCAAUUUUUUUCAGGUUGACCUCGGAUCAGGUAGGGAUACCCGCUGAACUUAAGCAUAUCAAUAAGCGGAGGA